AAAUUAAAUUAAUUAAAAAAUAAAAUUUAAAAUAUACUGAGAGUUAUUUUUAAACAAAAUUAAUUAAAAAAUUUAAACUAAAUAAAAAUUAAAUGAAAUUAAAAAAAAAGAAAAAAAAGGAGGAGGCUACAUGUGUCCUUUGGCAGGGAGAGAGGGGAGAAGAAGAGGGGUGUGUGUCAGACCGGGAGGGGGGGGGGAAAGCAGCUCUCUUAUUGGAGGACGCUGACGAUGAGUCUUUGAAGCUGCAUAAGUACUGGGAUUAUUAGAAAAACGUUAAUGACGCGCAGAGAGAAGCUGCUUGCAGUGACACUUUAGUCCCAUUGAUGAUUGUUGCUGGUCCAGGAAGUGGAAAGACAUCCACAAUGGUUUGGCGUGUGCUGACACUGCUCAAAUAGGGAAUUGAUCCAUCCAACAUCCUAGCAAUGACUUUCACAAUUGCUGCUACAUCAGAGAUGAGGGAUCAAAUUGGAAUAGUAGCUGGAAAAGCAGUUGCAAAAGAAAUUGAAAUCAGCACAUUUCACUCAUUUUGUUUUCAGCUUGCAGGAAGCAUGAAGAAAAGUGUGUAAGCCUGCGUACCUUUAUUGUUUGCAAAUUAAUGCCUAUAUAUGUAUUGUUACUAUCUUCUGCAAUCCACCCAAAAAUAAGUAGAAAAGCAAAACCACAAUAACAAUAGAUAAUUAACAACACAAUUUUCAUAGUUUGGCUAAUAAAAAAUAUGUUAAAGAGAGGGAAUCCAUAGUUUAUCUUAGAAGCUAUGUCCAAAAGAAGCUUGAUUGAAGAGACGGAGUCAUGUAAUUUUCUCUAAUUUACAUUCUAUCAUAAGUUUUUUGGUCAAAUGCCCCCUGAAUUAGUCACAACUAGACGAGGCUUGAUUGAUUCCAAAUUCCAAUUCAACUCCAACACUCCGGACUGGAAUUGAUCGAGUUUUUAGACUAUGCUUGUGCAAGACAUGUCCAUUUGAUUAUUUCAUUGUUUUUCUUAAUGUUUUUGUAGUUCAUAUUGACACAUUCUUGAUUGGAUUUCAAAUUAGAUUAUCUUAAUGUGUUUUUUUCCUGAUGUUUUGUUUUCCAAAGAUAUAUAUGUAACCUCCAUGAAGUUGGCAUUACCUUAUGUUCCUUAGGACAUUGUUACAUAUUUUGUAGGGAAUCAAAUCCUUGCUGUGCACCAUUGUGGUGCAAGAACUUCUUUGCAAAUGAAGAUAAGGCCAAUUCUUCGUUCCCCAUCUUAUUUUUGUUUUGUUUAGGUUCUUCAUCAACAUGUAAAUCAGUUUGAGAUUUUAUUGAUGCAUCACCUAGUACAACUACAAUUCCUUUGUUCAAAGCUUAACUACUGCUUUCCGACCUCCCAAAUAACUUGUUUACAAGCGAUUGAUGAAUAUCCCCUGACCUUUCAAUGUUUUUGCUUCUUUUCCUCUAAUGUGCCUUCCAACUGGUUUCUUUGUUCAAACAAUGCAUGAAGUGCAAUUUUUGCAAACACAGGUUUCAUUUUAAUUUUCCACAUCUUGAAGAUAUAAUAUAAUAAAGAUUUAUAGCUUAUUAUGAUUUCCAAUUCUCUUGUCCUACCUUUGACUCAACCCUAAGUCGUGCUUGUUGGGGUCCAUCACAGUGAAAUAAACUUGAUCUGUCCUCGACUAAAAAGAGUACAAUUAGAACAAAACACGCCAAUAAAAAUUAAAAAAUGCAUGAGCAUGUCUGGUGACAUGAAGCUAAGUUUGUAGGAUAUAUGUAAAGAGUUUCAAUGGGAUUAAUCUAAUCCCAUGUGUACAAAUAAUGGACUGAGGGUGGAUGCUUCCCACAGUCAUUAAUAGUGUGAGCGACACGUGAGAAAGUCGUGUGACUACGUGGUGUGACUCCGGCGCGACCGCGGGGGUUGUGCGACCCCUCCGCGGCGGACGCGAGGUCGCGCAACACCUCCGCCGUAGACGCGGGAGUCACACGACCCCUCCACAACGGCUGUGAGGUUGUACGACCCCUCCAUAGCGGCUGCAAGGUCGCAUGACCUCUCCGCAGUGGCCGUGAGGUCGCAUGACUCCUCCGCGCGUGAUGCCUCUCUGUUGCUACGGGGCCUAGUAUUGGGGUCGUGCCAAUGCCAAUCGGUGGGUGAAACCAGAUGUUUUGCUUGUUUCGAUUGGUUUGGCACGGUAUUUUAAUCCCUGAUCUCGAACAUGCUGUAUAUGUAGCUUAUGUACUGAUUCUAAUCUAAGAACGCAACUUUGUGGAACUAAAUAUUUCAAGUUGAUUUUCAAAUAAAAUGGUAGUGGUGAUGCUGAUAAUGAUUCCCUGAAUUGAUAAACCCUAAAUGGUUGUAAAUUCUGGUUAUUUUCUUUUAUUAGAAAUUUGUCAAAACAAAUUGCUCACGUAAUGGGAACUAUGUAGCGAUGAAUCUACAAAUGCUUUCUUUUGUUGCAACCUUUGUUUUAUUCCCAUUGAGGCCAAGAAAAUUAAGGGAACCAUUUGUUAUUUGUGAAUGAAAGAAUUUCUUGCGACUUAAAUCUGCAAGGUUUUCAUACUAAAACUAAUCUGUAAGGUAUAACACAAAAUUCUCUGCAUGGUUUUCAAAGCUUAUGUGAGCAAUAUGCCAUCGAGUCACUACAUAACAUGUGAUCCAUUAUCAUUAUUUUUUUUUAAUAAUUAUAUUGCUUAUAAUAUCAUGGCAUGAAAAAAUAAGUUCACAUAUACCAUAUACUGCAUCCAGUUAAUCAACUUCAUCAAUCUUAUAAACAAAAAUUUAAACCACCAUAAUUAAUUCUCAACAUCAUGUAAAUAUGUUGUAAAAGAAUCUAAGCGAUAUAGAUAAUACACAAAAAAAACAUAACUCAAUUAUUCAUGUCAAUGAACCAAUGCCAAUUUAUAUAACAAAAUUACAAAUGUUGUUCUGAGCGAUAUAUAUAUAAUCUCCUCUUGUUUGUUUGUUUGGAAAAAAUAGUUUUAUCUAAGCAAUACCAACUUGAGCAUGACUUAGAAUCUAACCAUCUAGAUUGUUCUAGCCUGAAUGAUUCUUGUGCGAUUGGAACCUUUUCAAAACAAUGCCUAUAUGUCACUUUUUUUUAAUCCUUAGUUUAUCUCUAAAAUUAUGAAUUAUGCUUGAAUAUCUUUGUGGCUAUUCUCCUAGGAUACAGAUACAGAUAAACAAAGUGCAUACUUACACUGUUAAACCUGGAGAUAAAGAAUGCAUAUGCAAAGGAACUAGAAUCAUGCACAGCUCAAUUUAUAUCGUAUUUUUCUUGUGUUUAUCUAAUAUGUGCUUACAGUUUUUUGAUUUUACUGAAAAUUAGUAUCAUUGGCAGGUAGUUCAAUAUUUCAUGGAUGUUGUGUCAGUCUGUCAGAUUUCUUGUCCAUGCAUUUUACUAAUUCAGAGCAAGGUUCUAAAAUUCGCUAGGUGUUAGUCGGGCACUGGACCAAUGCCUAGCACCUAGGCCUCCAAGGUGGGGACUAGGUGCCGUUAGACGAUUUACAUGGUAUCAACAUAAAUUAUAUAAUAAAUCAUAUUCUGUAACUCCAACACAUUAACAUCUAAUUUAAAAUGAGUUCAAAUUUACACAACUAAUAAAAUAUCACAAAUUUAUUCUACUUCUUCUCCAUAAUUUUCAACAACUUUUUCUUCAUCGGACACAAACUCAAUACAUCUUUGUGAUCCUCCUCUUUUUCUCUGGAUGCAAAAUUAUACUCGUGAAGUUGUCACUCUAGAGCUUCUUUAGGGUUGUAGUUUUUCAUCUACUCCUUUGCUUCAUCAACCAUUUACCAAGUGAUCUCGAAACCUAGUUCAACCUUAUGAUCUUCCCCAUCAUCCACAAUCCAACCUUUGCAUUUGAAACAUCUUUUGCAAUAAGGACAUCAACAUUCCUUUUUUUUUUUUUUUUUUAAUUUGUUCAACAAUCUAGCAUUAAAUUGGAUAAAUACUAGAUUGUUCAACUUGUUGACAUCCAACCUAUUUUUUUUCUUGUUGGACCAGAGUUUAGGGUUUAUAAAACUUAAGCCCAACAAAAGAAAGGGGUUACGUUUCAUUUUUUUAAAUUGGACUUUAAAUUUAAAAGCUCAAACUAAGAAAAACAUGAAAACCUAUACUAUUUCCACGGUGCCUAGAUGAUUCAACUGAUUAUUCGGCACCUAGGCCCAUUUAAUCCCGCCUAGGGGCCAAGGGCACCUAGGUUGGCCGACUAGCAUAUUUUCGAUGCGGCUAGCUGAUGCCUAGCGCCUAUACGGCCUCCUAGGCCAUUUUUGAGAACACUGAUUCAGAAGAUCAAAACAUUAGCAAAGAAGAAGGUUGUUGAAGCAUACUCAAGUCCUUCAUUGAGUUCAUAACUUUGAGAGAAACAGAAAAUUUUCGAUCUAGUAGGCAAGAAAAUAAAAACUCUGUUACAGUGACAACUAUUCACCAGGUUCAUUUUUUGUAAUUAACAAUGUUAUUUCCUUCAUAUUGACAUCGAUGGUUAGGAUAUAGCUGAACACAUUUUUCUUUUCUUUCUGUCAAAAGGUCUAGAAUGGGAUGUUGUUUUCAUCGUGAAGGUAUGCAAAUGCAUCUGCCAAUAGAAAUUGCAGCUCCAUUUUCACUCAAUUUAAGUAUUGUGCAAUUUGCAUUCCAAGUAUUAUUUUGUGUUAAUUUUCUCUACACGUUUCAAUGUAUUUAUUUUUUCCAUCUAUAAUUGAUCUCUUAUGUUUCUUUGUGUUUUUUGUUUCAAUUAUUAUCUAAUAUUAAUGAAUUAACAAAACUUGUAAGGGCAAUCAUGAGUUAAUGCAAAUUAAAUGUGUGAUAAAAGAAAUUAAUAAUAAUACUUUCAUAUGGAGAUGGAAACCUUUUCUCCUUUCCUUUAGCUUGACUUUUUGAACUUCCUAAAGGUUCUUCCUUUUCCUUUCUUAUAAAUAAAAUCCUCUUCCUUUUUAAUGAAUUCCAUUUCAGAUCUCAUUGAUCAUAUACAAUUAAAUUCAUCAGAAUAAUAAUUUAUACUCGUGUGUGUGUGUGUGAAGAAGGCAAAAAUGAAGACAAAUUAAAGUAGGUAGUGUUAACUAAAUGGAGCUUAGCCCAAUGAUUAGAGUUUGUCAACUAAGCAACGGUUGAGGGAUGGUUGUUAGUGGCUAUCUCCCUUUGAAUGGAAUUUGAGGAGAAGUUGAUAUUUUCUACAAAAAGGCCACUAGAACCUCAAACCAAAACACACAAAAACCAUCUUUCUUCUUCUCGCUAAGUGCUCUUAGUUCUAUUUAAUUGUUAGUAUCAGUCUGCUAUAGUACGAAACAAUUAAUUUCAGUUAACUGUCUAAUUAUUAUAGUCCUAUUCUUAAUCUAAAUUUUUCUCGGCAUGCAUCAAUGCAAGCCAAAGUGUGACCUUGUUAGUAUAAUGCAGUUCCAAAAUUAUGAUUCCUGUUGAAGAAUUUUCUCAUAUCCAUCCUCCCAUCUCCAAUUCACCAUUGUCAUGAUGUGUCGCUAGUUUGACAUGAAACGGAAAUAGACUCAUUUUUAUCUACUACGGAUGGACUUGAAAAGGACAGGUAGUUGAUGAAGAACCUCUUUAUGAGACAAUGUUCAAAAAGGUUCAGGGAGCAAUAUUGUAAAGCGUAAUACCCUAGGGAAACACCACUUGUCUAUCUAAUAUUGUAUCAUACAGUUCUUUCAGAAUGAAAACAAGGGCAACCAUAGACAUCAAAUUUCAGUAUGCACCAUCAUUGUAGCUUGACACACAAUUAGUUGUUAGUAAAAUUCCAAAAUGCAAAAAGAAUAUCAUUGUAACUUGAAGAGGAAAAUGAUAUUGCUGGCUUGGCCUUGUAUGACUCUGGACCUUGUGUCAUCCUAUCCAGGUAAGUGAAAUGUAAGAUUUAUAUUCUCAAGCUGGUGGAUGAUGACAUGCUAAUAGUUUAAUGACUUAUUUAUUGCUUUGCAGCUGCUUGGCUUGUUCUGUGAUCAGGGACUGUGUAGGAACCCUUUGCCAAUAUCAAAGCACAGGUUCAAUUAGCUGGUGCUUCCAGCACCAACAAACUAGGCAUACAAGUGACAUUUUCAAGUUGGGUGUAUCUACUGUGGAACACAUUCAGCUAAUUGAGACUCGAAUUUCUCUGUUUUUUAAAUAAUAAUGCCAAAACUCAUGAAGAUGUAAACUUCAACAUUUUAUUUCUGCUUUUGCCUUCUGAUGUGGAAUCUCAUCAAGACUUUAUUUAUGUUUUAAUAAUGAGUUCGUUAGCAUUUUGACGCUAGCGUUGGUUGUAGGCCAAUGAUAAUGAAAUUCCUUUGCUUCAUGAAUAUAAUGGUGUUCACCAAGGUGCAACAACUCUUGAGGAGCGUAGGCUUUUAUAUGUUGUUGCAAUGACUCGUGCUCGAAAGAAGUAUAUUGUGUAUGUCAUCAUGGAUUCCAGUUGGCAGGUCAUCUUCUGGAGACACAGGCGCUUUCAGUUGACUUUUCUUUUGGUUAUUCUGAUGAUUUGAAUUUAUGGUUGAAUUUCCUAUUUGUACUAAACCUUGUUUUUCCUUCUUUUAUUGUAUUCUUGUCAGAAUUUCAGAUAUUGGAGUAUACAUUCUUGAUUGA